GGUGCCAGAAAGCUUACUACAAAGGUAGGAUUUCACUUAUUGUUAGAAUUGUUAGAAAUUUAUCUCAAUCUAGUCUGUCAUAAUAAUCUGUAAUGAUCAAUUCAGUCUAAAAUUUUUGAAAACUGAAAUACAAUCUAACAAAAUUAGAUGAAAACCACUUAAUUAAAGUGAUUUUCUUUUCAAUUCUAUCAGUUUAUUUGGUUGUGGACCUCAGAGUUGGGCUUUUAUAUCUGGCC
rnacentral:misc_RNA from 1 species